UUGAACGCUGGCGGAAUGCUUUACACAUGCAAGUCGAGCGGCAGCGCGGGGGCAACCCUGGGGGCGAGCGGCGAACGGGUGAGUAACACAUCGGAACGUACCCAGUUGUGGGGGAUAGCCCGGCGAAAGCCGGAUUAAUACCGCAUACGACCUGAGGGUGAAAGCGGGGGACCGUAAGGCCUCGCGCGAUAGGAGCGGCCGAUAUCGGAUUAGCUAGUUGGUGAGGUAAAGGCUCACCAAGGCGACGAUCCGUAGCGGGUCUGAGAGGACGACCCGCCACACUGGAACUGAGACACGGUCCAGACUCCUACGGGAGGCAGCAGUGGGGAAUUUUGGACAAUGGGGGCAACCCUGAUCCAGCCAUUCCGCGUGAGUGAAGAAGGCCUUCGGGUUGUAAAGCUCUUUCAGCAGGAACGAAACGGUGGUCCUUAAUACGGGCUACUAAUGACGGUACCUGAAGAAGAAGCACCGGCUAACUACGU
rnacentral:rRNA from 1 species